AAUUGGAGGGCAAGUCUGGUGCCAGCAGCCGCGGUAAUUCCAGCUCCAAUAGCGUAUAUUAAAGUUGUUGCAGUUAAAAAGCUCGUAGUUGAAUUUCGGGGUUAGUAGGUUGGUCAUGCCUCUGGUAUGUACUGAUCUCACUGAUUCCUCCUUCCUUAUGAACCGUAAUGCCAUUAAUUUGGUGUUGCGGGGAAUUUGGACUGUUACUUUGAAAAAAUUAGAGUGUUUAAAGCAGGCUAACGCUUGAAUACAUUAGCAUGGAAUAAUGAAAUAGGACGUUCGAUCUUAUUUUGUUGGUUUCUAGGAUUGACGUAAUGAUUAAUAGGGAUAGCUGGGGGCAUUAGUAUUCAAUUGUCAGAGGUGAAAUUCUUGGAUUUAUUGAAGACUAACUACUGCGAAAGCAUUUGCCAAGGAUGUUUUCAUUAAUCAAGAACGAAAGUUAGGGGAUCGAAGACGAUCAGAUACCGUCGUAGUCUUAACCAUAAACUAUGCCGACUAGGGAUCGGAUGAUGUUAAUUUUUUAAUGACUCAUUCGGCGCCUUACGGGAAACCAAAGUGU
rnacentral:rRNA from 1 species